UGUAGUUUGAGUUCACCCCCUCCACAAGACCAGUGUCUACUAGACCAGAGAGCUACUUCAGGUUACUGUUAACUCUAGUAUCCCCCAGCUGACAGAAGGCGGUGAUACUGUCAGCAAGUUUAUGCAACAGAUAUUUUCUGGGUUUGAACCCAAAUCACAGCAUGAGAGUUGACCCUUUGGGAAGUCUGGAUGCAGGGGUCUAUGGAUAUCAUGGUUCCACCCCACAGCUGUGAUGCAUCCCAGCCACAAGGUGCCCUGAAGGGAAGCUCCCAGUGUGUUUUGUGUUUGACUGAGUUGGAACCACCAGCAGAUCUCAGAGUCAGCUCAGAGAUGCUCUCCCAGAUGAAAAGGAAUCAGCUUGAAAGCAUUUAGAAAUAGAGCUCCAUGAAAACCAAACUUGGAAGCGCCAGUGCUACUGCAAUAUGUAGUUUUGCCAGCAGAGGGCAGACACAACAUAUCUUCAAGCAAAAUAAGACAGUUCUGCCAGACCAAGUUUCAUUGACAAACAUAAAAGGACAAGUCAUGCUUAAACUACUUCAGCGUAAACAGCAAGAGUCAUAUCUAACUUCUUUGAUGUUGUUAAAUCCAAUGUCUGAUUCAUAUUAUGAGUUUUGCUGGUUUUUUAUCAUGAAGACAGUUAACAGUUUUGUUAAUAGUUUUAACAAACCUGGUGAGGGUUUGAAAAAUGAAAAGUCAUUGUUAAUUAUGGAAAUUUGGACAAUUCUUUUUUGUUGUUCAUCUACAUCAGUUUUGUCUGUGUCUUUAGACUGUAAGCUUUUGGGGGCAGAGACCAUCUUCUAUUCAGUGCCUAACAUUGGGGUCCCAAUACUACUUAGAGCUUGAAAUGCAAAUAAUAACGAAAGAGUUUAGUAGGUAAAUACAUUUCUUCAUAUGUACAAAGGAAAAUGCCAGUGUCCCAAAUCUGGCAAAUAUCUUCUCCUUGGUUUCCAUUCAACACCAUAUCUUAGCACUCACUCUGGCAAUGUAAAGGGGAGUGGACUCUGGCUACAUCUCCCCAGCUGGGAAUAUUGGCAGUCCAGAGGGCAUAGAACCAGCCUAAUUGGAUUCUACGCUACCCCUAUAGUGGCUGGAACGGGGUUGUAGCCAGACUGCAUUGUGCUUCUGCGAUGUAUGGUUGACAGAGCGUUCCUAGGUGUGAUACACAAUCCAUUUUUGUUGUUUGUUUUUUAUUUUGACAUUCUCUGUCUAAAUAGAUCUUGUUUUACCACAGCCUGAGUAGUGUUGUAAUCUUGUUUGGGAAUUUCACACAGACCAUACUGGAGAGGUGAAACCACCUUCUGCCCCUAAGAAGAGGCAGUGCAGGAAGAGUGGCUGGAGCCCACCCCACUUGGGAUUUUCAAUCACAAAAGCACAGCACUAAGGGCCGGGGUGGCGUGUCUUCUCCCAUAUGGUGUAUCUCUGUAGGGGCCAUGCUCCUAAUGAUGGACAGGAAAUGCCUAACACCCGUGGAGAAGAGCAGAGUCUGAGGGGCCAGAGGUGGUAUCACCAUCUAUAAAUGACUGUCACUUUUACUUUCCUGCCCAUUGUUGGCAAGUUCCCCCCAUAUUUCCCAUGUGUGUUCUUCUUUUUCCCUUGUGAUCGCUGUUCAGUUUCUAGACCUUCCUCUCUUAAUUAAACAACAGGAAAAAGUCCUCCCUGUGUCAGGCCAGAACAUAUUUUGUUAGAUAUCAGUUGUUUCACAGGGAAAUCUUAAACUAGAAUUUUUUCGUAGGCAAAUCCUGUAACUUGUU